GACGUAGGGCGCGAGCGUUGUCCGGAUUUAUUGGGCGUAAAGAGCUCGUAGGCGGCUUGUCGCGUCGUCUGUGAAAUCCCGCGGCUCAACUGCGGGUCUGCAGUCGAUACGGGCAGGCUAGAGUUCGGUAGGGGAGACUGGAAUUCCUGGUGUAGCGGUGAAAUGCGCAGAUAUCAGGAGGAACACCCGUGGCGAAAGCGGCUCUCUGGGACGGUACUGGACGCUGAGACGCGAAAGCGUGGGGAGCGAACAGG
rnacentral:rRNA from 1 species